rnacentral:rRNA from 1 species
AUUGAACGCUGGCGGCAGGCCUAACACAUGCAAGUCGAGCGGAUGAAGGGAGCUUGCUCCUGGAUUCAGCGGCGGACGGGUGAGUAAUGCCUAGGAAUCUGCCUGGUAGUGGGGGAUAACGUCCGGAAACGGGCGCUAAUACCGCAUACGUCCUGAGGGAGAAAGUGGGGGAUCUUCGGACCUCACGCUAUCAGAUGAGCCUAGGUCGGAUUAGCUAGUUGGUGGGGUAAGGCCUACCAAGGCGACGAUCCGUAACUGGUCUGAGAGGAUGAUCAGUCACCCUGGAACUGAGCCACGGUCCAGACUCCUACGGGAGGCAGCAGUGGGGAAUAUUGGACAGUGGGCGAAAGCCUGAUCCAGCCAUGCCGCGUGUGUGAAGAAGGUCUUCGGAUUGUAAAGCACUUUAAGUUGGGAGGAAGGGCAGUAAGUUAAUACCUUGCUGUUUUGACGUUACCAACAGAAUAAGCACCGGCUAACUUCGUG